UCCAGACAUACAUGCUCAGAAACAACAUACCGCGUGUAAAUGCAAACUCUUGCAAGUGAUGCAACAUGGAAUAUUAUUGUGAUAUAAUAUGCCUCAUCCAUCAAAAGUCGCUCAAAUUAAGUCAGACAAGUAGGCUAAAAGACGUCACAUGAAAGCAUCGUGCGAAUUGAAAUUGUGAUUUUUGUUACCGGAGACAUUCGCAGGCAGUCCGUGGCAGGAGUGAUUUGAAGGUAAAAUAUCAGGGGCGGAGCUUUCGGUGCUUGGUAGAUCGAUGCCUUCUGAACUUAAAGGCAAAGUAAUAAACUUAACAUAAAACGCCAGUUGCUGCUUCAGAGAGCCGCUCGUCUCCGUUAUGUCUGGUAAUUUUGGACAGAAAACGCUUCACGGUUUGCACAGGGUUUGCUGAGAAGAUGCGUAUUUUCCCACGACUUGCUUCGUAUCUGAUAUCUAUGUGACUGAUUUUUGAUAGAUCAGACAAAAGUCACGUUAUGGACCAAAAUAGCACAGUUCUUUGGUUGUUUUUUUGGCUAGAUGUAUAGCCUUUAGCCGAUGCGUUGCAGCCUAUGACGAUGAUGUGUUGUAACGGUAUGGAAACUGUGAUGUCAUUUCUGUGUACGGGCAACCCCAACAGGUCCUCCAGCAGAAGCUGCUUCCUCCUGUCUUCCAGAUGCUGCUGACCAAGUCGUCCACCAUCUGACAGGGAAGGAUGCUCUCCCAUAGGAAGCAAGGGCUGAAGGGGCACCAAACUGGGCUGAAAGAUGUCUUGAUACCCUAAUCCUCCGCCCCCUUCCAGUGGUCUGCACUGGCUACUCCCCUUCAUAGAAUGGACUAAAGAGCAAGGGACUUGUACGUUUGGUUAAUCUAGUUCAGUGUUCCUUUUUCUUUCUUUCUUUAAGGCCCUGCGAUAGACUAGCGUCCUUUCCAGGGGGUGUACUUGUACAUCAACCUGCCUCACAUUACAGAAACAGGAGGAGAUAUGCUCCUGCUCCUAUGAGCCGUUGUGGCUCACACAAGCUAAGGCUCAUGCAAAGCUACCCUCUUACUUCCUUUGGCUUACAGCUUUAACAAUAUAUAUAUUUUUCUAUUUGGAUUUAAUUUAAUGGACAUACACAAAAUAGUCCAAAUUGGUGAAGUGAAAUGGAAAAAAAAAUUGUUUUAUAAAAUUCAUAAAAAUAAAAAACAGACAAAUGGUGUGUGCAUAUGUAUUCACCCCCUUUGCUAUGAAGCCCCUAAAUAAGAUCUGGUGCAACCAAUUACCUUCAGAAGUCACAUAAUUAGUUAAAUGAAGUCCACCUGUGUGCAAUCUAAGUGUCACAUGAUCUCAAUAUAUAUACACCUGUUCUGAAAGGCUCCAGAGUCUGCAACACCACUAAGCAAGGAGCACCACUAAGCAAGGAGCACCACCAAGCAAGCGGCACCAUGAAGACCAAGGAGCUCUCCAAACAGGUCAGGGACAAAGUUGUGGAGAAGUGCAGAUCAGGGUUGGGUUAUAAAAAAUAUCUGAAAAUUUAAACAUCCAGCGGAGCACCAUUAAAUCCAUUAUUAAAAAAAAAUCUUAAGAAUAUGGCACCACAACAAACAUGCCAGGAGUGGGCCGCCCACCAAAACUCACAGACCAGGCAUGGAAUGGCAUUAAUCAGAGGCAACAAAGCGACCAAAGAUAACCAUGAAGGAGCUGCAAAGCUCCACAGCGGAGAUUGGAGUAUCUGUCCAUAGGACCACUUUAAGUCGAGGGGGGGGUGAAUAGUUAUGCAUGCUCAAGUUUUCAGUUGUCUUAUUUCUUAUUUCACAAGAAAAAAUAUUUUACAUCUUCAAAGUGAUAGGCAUGCUGUGUAAAUCAAAUGAUACAACCCCCCCCAAAAUACAUUUUAAUUCCAGGUUUUAAGGCAACAAAAUAGGACCACUUGGGACUGGUUACUUGUUAAAAAAAAUUUUUUUUUUUUUUUUUAGAUUUAAGUUUUUCUUGAAGAAGAUUAGUCUAUCCACAUCUGCAGUGAGCACAGAUCGGCUAGCUGUGACAAUGUCACCUGUUGUGGAGAAUAGCCUCUCGCUAGGGACAGAGGUCCCAGGCACAACCAGGUAGCACCUUGCUAACAUGGCACCGUGAGGGUAUAUUAACUCUUUGGUCUUCCACCAUGUAAGUGGAUCAGCAUCCAGGGGAAUACAGUCCACUUCCCUGUAUGAGGUCACCUCCUCCUUUAUGACCUUGACCUUUGACUUUGUUCCCUUCUCCUGGGUCAUGAACAUCUCCUCAAAAAGCUCAGCCAUGGCAGAAUUAUUUUCUGUAGGAGAACCCCUGUCGUCUACCAUCUCUGGAGAGGGGUUGGCUCCUGUGGUAUCUGUGGCUUAGCCCUGCAGAAUUAAAUUAGAUGACAAUUACUAUCUCUGAGGUGGCUUUAAAAAUAUGAUUUGUUGUUAGAAAUAUAUAUCAGACACUAUUAGAACAAUUACAAUUAUUACUUUAUAAUUAAUUGUUAAAUCCCUAAUUAAUAAAAUAAUACAUGUCACAUUAACAAAAUAAAUACAAUACCUGUUGUAUAUUGGUCACAAUCUCUGCUGUGAGUUUAUUGUAGACUAUCAGACGAGCAGCAGCAUCCAGGUGCAACAGGGACUUGAACCGGGGGUCCAAAGCGGUGCUCUUGUGUAAGAAGUCUUGGACACCAGGGUCAGCAUAUCUAGGCUCCAGCUUAACUCUGAUAACAGUCUUGACAUCCCUUAAUGCGGGUUCAUCUUCAUCAGAUGCCACCAUUAUUUUCAGGAUCAUUGUUUUCAUAGGCAGGAUCAUGGAAACUGAUGGAAUGCUCUCAGUGCAUUUCAGUGUUGUGACUGUUUUGAGAGGUUUGAACACUUUAAUAACUUCCUCUCCUAGUCUUAUGUCAUUUUCAGACAAAGUCACAAUAUCUUUAACAUUCUUCCUCACAGCUUGAUCAGUCAGUGUAGAAUACACUGCAACUUUUUGCUCAGGGUAUCGCUCAACCAUGUCAAGGCGUGAAUUCCAUCUAGUAGAGACAUCUUGGAUUAGUUUGUGGUUUGGCAGCUCCAGCAUCUCCUGUUUUGUCUUGAAAACAUGUUCAGCAGUUGUGCCUUCCUGAUCUUCGCUAAGAGGUGAGAGACUGGAUUCAGUGACGUUGCUUUUUGAGACGCUAGAUGAGCUAGAUGAACGUGAGCAGAGCAUCCUAUCUGUGGCCCCAAUCCAGCUAAUGCAACUGCAUUUACAAUUUUCUAGCGUUGUCAGUGGUCACAGGAAUCGUUACUUUAUCCCAACCGCCACACUGCAACUACUUCCCGUAGCUCUUCCCCGAAUUUCGCAAAUGUGUGACUACUCUCAGGGGGACGUGUUUGAAAAUGGCUUUUCAUCUCCCACUCUGCCGUAAUGAAAUGAACCGUUACAGUAAGGAAGCUCUCUGUAGCUCUAGACGUCCAACUGUCUGUUAGAGCAACAGACCCCAUUUCUGACAACUCACUCUCAAGUUGUUCUUUUGUUUUUUGUAUAAGGCAGGAAUCAAUGUCUGCGGGAAAAAUGUGUACAGGAAGGAAUAAUGAAGCUCGGCUUGACCACUUUAUUAAAAAUGUUUCUGAACCCAGGUAUUCUCUACCACAGAGAAGGGUCUCAUAUCUUCCGCUAUGAAUUUUGCUGUCGCUGCGUUGAUUUCUUUUGCCCUAUCGGAGUCAGCUGCAUAUUGUUGCCUGAAGGAGAAGGAGAAGGAGAAGUGGUUGCCGUUUCAUUAUUUUCCUAGUCCCACCGAUUGGCACUUUGGGGUGAUGUUGGCGCAAAUGAGUAGUCAUGUUACUCAUAUUGCCACUCGAAAAGGCUAUCGGCAAUGACCAGAGCCUACAUGUUGAAGUUUUAUCCAGCACUGUUGGCAAUCCCCGUUAUAGUUUACAAGGAAACUGUUCCCAGACGGCAGACCUAAAUGAUACUGGGGCGUCUUCUAGUUCUGGCUUGCCAAUGCUUGCCAUGUUGCUCCUUUGCAUUUAGCUAACUGAUAAUUCCUUCAUAAGUUAAUUGCUGCUACGAUUCACUAAUGAGCGGAGCUGCGUACAGCUACGAGACGAAACCACUUUUUUUUUAAAGACAAGUUUAUUACUAUGUGGAAAUUUUUCCCACGUAAAUUUAUAUGCCAUUGGUUUAUGCAAUAAUAUUUUUUUACAAUGAGAUAUAUAAACUCAGCAAAAAAAGAAACAUCCUCACUGUCAACGGUGUUUAUUUUCAGCAAAUUUAACAUGUGUAAAUAUUUGUAUGAACAUAACAAGAUUCAACAACUGAGACAAACUGAACAAGUUCCACAGACAUGUGACUAACAGAAAUGGAACAAUGUGACCCUGAAGAAAGGGAGGGUCAAAAUCAAAAGUAAAAGUCAGUAUCUUGUGUGGCCACCAGCUGCAUUAAGUACUGCAGUGCAUCUCCUCUUCAUGAACUGCACUAGAUUUGCCAGUUCUUGCUGUGAGAUGUUACCCCACUCUUCCACCAAGGCACCUGCAAAUUCCAGGACAUUUCUGGGGGAAAUAGCCUUAGCCCUCACCCUCCGAUCCAACAGGUCCCAGACGUGCUCAAUGGGAUUGAGAUCCGGGCUCUUCGCUGGCCAUGCAGAACACUGACAUUUCUGUCUUGCACGAAAUCACGCACAGAACGAGCAGUAUGGCUGGUGGCAUUGUCAUGCUGGAGGGUCAUGUUAGGAUGAGCCUGCAGGAAGGAUACCACAUGAGGGAGAUGGAUGUCUUCCCUGUAACGCACAGCGUUGAGAUUGCCUGCAAUGACAACAAGCUCAGUCCGACGAUGCUGUGACACACCACCCCAGACCAUGAUGGACCAUCCACCUCCAAAUCGAUCCCGCUCCAGCACAGGCCUCGGUGUAACGCUCAUUCCUUCGACGAUAAACGCGGAUCCGACCAUCACCCCUGGUGAGACAAAACCGCGACUCUUCAGUGAAAAGCACUCUCCUGGAAGCGCCUCCAUGCUCUGGACACUACGCUGACAAACACAGCAAACCUUUUUGCCACAGCUCGCAUUGAUGUGCCAUCCUGGAUGAACUGCACUACCUGAGCCACUUGUGUGGGUUGUAGACUCCGUCUCAUGCUACCACUAGAGUGAGAGCACCGCCAGCAUUCAAAAGUGACCAAAACAUCAGCCAGGAAGCAUAGGAACUGAGAAGUGGUCUGUGGUCACCACCUGCAGAAUCACUCCUUUUUGGGGGGUGUCUUGCUAAUUGCCUAUAAUUUCCACCUUUUGUCUAUUCCAUUUGCACAACAGCAUGUGAAAUUUAUUGUCAAUCAGUGUUGCUUCCUAAGUGGACAGUUUGAUUUCACAGAAGUGUGAUUGACUUGGAGUUACAUUGUGUUGUUUAAGUGUUCCCUUUAUUCUUUUGAGCAGUGUAUAUAUAUAUAUACAAUUUGUUAGACCAGAAUGAUUUUAGUUGGUUAUUUCCAUCUACUCAUCUCUUAAUGUAUUGACUUGCCUCUCAGUAUAGCUAGUUAGCUAAAGUGUCUAAGCUAGCUAGCUACAUAUACUAGCCAUCAUUGCUAGUAGCUUGCAGCAAGCACCUUGCCCGAUCUGUCUCCCCCCGCGAACUUCUUGCUCACUGGCUGCCCUUGCCAGCAUAGCAAAGAUGAUCUGAGUUAUUCAGUAUAUAGUACAGCUUCACCAAUUUCUUUCUGAUAGUGAUGUGCAGUUCGCAAAAGCGUCAUUAUUUUUGAACGACUCUUUUUACCAACUCGAGAGUCGUGAAUAGUUUUUCUGAGUGACUCGUUAAUUUUAGUUGUUCGUUUGACCUCCUCAGCAGGAUUAUUACACGCUCUUCCGACUCAACGGCUCCAGAGACAUGCUCCGACCAUCAACUGUCUGUCAUAUGCACGCAGGGAAAUAGACCAUGAGCAUAGAGAAGAAAAAACAUGUUUAGAACUGAUAAUUGACCGCAUGGUGCAAGAGUGAAUGCAAAUAAUUGGUUAUUGAAUGUUAUCGAUGAACACAGCUUUGUAGAACCAAAACAUAUAUAGCCUCUGCACAACACACCUGAACUCGAAAACAAAUUGUUUGGGGGGGCUGCAGUUCGCGCGAUAAGCCCGCUAUGGUGAACGACAUGUUAACGAGAGGCUUGUAGAAUUAUGAGUUUUCAGUUCAUUGUUCGCAGGUAGAAGGUCAUGCGUGGUCUGGGCAUCACUGACUCAUUACUGACAUUUAAUUUUUAAAUGUGUCGGUGUUGUACUGGAUAGCACCAUGGAAAUGCAAUAUUAAACACACUGCUAUUUCUUUUGAAAUUGUCAGGCAUUAUGCAUAGUCAAUCGUGAAAAUGAUACUUUGAAUUUUGUCACAAAAAAUGCAUACCCAUUUAGCAAAAGCAAAUCGCAAACAUGAUAUUGAUUUAUCAUCUGCCCAUAAGAAAUGUAAGAUUGAAUGAAGUCACUCAUAGAUUUCCAUAGCUGGAAGCAUUUUCCCGUUCCCGUAAAGUGUGCCUAGGCAAUGGUCGUAAAUAAGUUUCCUCCUAACACUGUCCAUAUGGGAAGGAAAUAGAAAACAAGAUAGCAGAAUCCAUCUAAUCUUGUUUGGUUAAAGCACUGGAAUGAUUACAUGUGGAAAACAUCUCAGCUCGCUGGUCACCAUAGCAACGCCCACCCGUAGCACGCGCUCCAGCAGGUAUAUCUCUCUGGUCACCCCCAAAACCAAUUCUUCCUUUGGCCGCCUCUCCUUCCAGUUCUCUGCUGCCAAUGACUGGAACGAACUACAAAAAUCUCUGAAACUGGAAACACUUAUCUCCCUCACUAGCUUUAAGCACCAGCUGUCAGAGCAGCUCAUAGAUUACUGCACCUGUACAUAGCCCAUCUAUAAUUUAGCCCAAACAACUACCUCUUUACCUACUGUAUUUAUUUAUUUUGCUCCUUUGCACCCCAUUAUUUCUAUCUCUACUUUGCACCUUCUUCCACUGCAAACCAACCAUUCCAGUGUUUGUUUUUUUUACUUGCUAUAUUGUAUUUACUUCGCCACCAUGGCCUUUUUAUAUUUUGAUUUAUUUAUAUAUAUAUUUUGUUUGCCUUCACCUCCCUUAUCUCACCUCACUUGCUCAUAUUGUAUAUAGACUUAUUUUUCACUGUAUUAUUGACUGUAUGUUUGUUUUACUCCAUGUGUAACUAUGUGUUGUUGUAUGUGUCGAACUGCUUUGCUUUAUCUUGGCCAGGUCGCAAUUGUAAAUGAGAACGUGUUCUCAAUUUGCCUACCUGGUUAAAUAAAGGUGAAAUAAAAAUGUGCACCUUGGCCUACCUUUGUUUUUUUUUGUUUUUUUAUUUUACCGUUAUUUUACCAGGUAAGUUGACUGAGAACACGUUCUCAUUUGCAGCAACGACCUGGGGAAUAGUUACAGGGGAGAGGAGGGGGAUGAAUGCGCCAAUUGUAAACUGGGGAUUAUUAGGUGACCAUGAUGGUUUGAGGGCCAGAUUGGGAAUUUAGCCAGGACACCGGGGUUAACACCCCUACUCUUACGAUAAGUGCCAUGGGAUCUUUAAUGACCUCAGAGAGUCAGGACACCCGUUUAACGUCCCAUCCGAAAGACGGCACCCAAUCACUGCCCUGGGGCAUUGGGAUAUUUUUUAGACCAGAGGAAAGAGUGCCUCCUACUGGCCCUCCAACACCACUUCCAGCAGCAUCUGGUCUCCCAUCCAGGGACUGACCAGGACCAACCCUGUUUAGCUUCAGAAGCAAGCCAGCAGUGGUAUGCAGGGUGGUAUGUGAGAAAUACAUGGAGGGAAAUAACCUUUACUAAAUAGAUUUUUUUUUAAAUCUUCAUGCUAAUUUUCUAAUAAUAAAGGAAAAUGAAUAAAACAUUCCCAUUUGAUUUGACACUGUAAAGUUCUUGUAAAUCUCUUGCACACACCAUAAGGAUUUUUUUACUUUUUCUCCCCAAUUGGUAGUUAGUCUUGUGCCACCGCUGCAACUUAUGGACUCGGGAGAGGCGAAAAUCGAGAGCCAUGCGUCCUCCGAGACAACCCUGCCGAAGCCGCACUGCUUCUUGACACUGCUCGCUCAACCCGGAAGCCAGACGCACCAAUUUGUCGGAGGGAAUUCCGUACAGCUGGCGAACAUGUCAGUGUGAAUGUGCCCGGCCCACCACAGGAGUCACUAGAGCGCGAUGGGACAAGGACCUCCCGGCUGUCCAAACCCUCCCCUAACCCGGACGACGCUGGGACAAUUGUGUGCCGCCUCAUGGGUCUCCCGGUUGCAGCCGGCAGCGACACAGCCCGGGAUCGAACCCGGGUCUGUAGUGACUCCUCAAGCACUGAGAUACAGUGCCUUAGACCGUGGCGCCACUCGGGAGGCCCACCAUAAGGAUUUUUAUUGAAAUAACACCAUUGCACUCAUUUAGCAUAGGCUACAUUUUCUAUUAAUUUGACAUGGUGACACAAACAUGUUGGUGUAACCCAUUAGGAUGUGCAUAAUACUGCAACAAUAUAGAUGUCAUCAUUACGCCUAAACUAGCUCAGCUCAUAAUCUAGGUUGUACUUGUGUAGUAGUGAACAACAGAAAUAAACACAGAUUUUUCAA